CUUCGGGGGUAGAGCACUGUUUCGGCUAGGGGGUCAUCCCGACUUACCAACCCGAUGCAAACUACGAAUACCGAAGAAUGUUAUCACGGGAGACACACGGCGGGUGCUAACGUCCGUCGUGAAGAGGGAAACAACCCAGACCGCCAGCUAAGGUCCCAAAGUCAUGGUUAAGUGGGAAACGAUGUGGGAAGGCACAGACAGCCAGGAUGUUGGCUUAGAAGCAGCCAUCAUUUAAAGAAAGCGUAAUAGCUCACUGGUCGAGUCGGCCUGCGCGGAAGAUGUAACGGGGCUAAACCAUGCACCGAAGCUGCGGCAGCGACACUAUGUGUUGUUGGGUAGGGGAGCGUUCUGUAAGCCUGCGAAGGUGACCUGUGAGGGUUGCUGGAGGUAUCAGAAGUGCGAAUGCUGACAUAAGUAACGAUAAAGCGGGU
rnacentral:rRNA from 1 species